GUAAGUUCUUGUGAUAAAAAUAUCAGGUACAGGAAAAAGGUUGUUUUCAGCUCACUUUGGGGUUUCUGUGUGUUCUGUGUGACUUCAGAAACUGUGAAACCUAUUCAAUGGGUGAAAGAAUGUGAGAGGAAAUUCCCACAUGUACACAUAACCAUAUAGACCAAAGCAUACUAUAAAUACUGUACCAAGAGUAAGUAUUUUAAAAACCUAAUCAUAUGAGAACACAUACUAUGCUUGCCUAUGUGGUAAAUAUAUUAUAUUAGUCACUAAUGAAGACAUAGUUUAAGAUAAAAGCCAGUAUAUUUUUACAGGUUUUCAAAAUCAGAUCAGAUUUCUUUGAAUUCACUGAGUACUUCACCUUACUUCAUCUGACAAACUAUUUUUCUGAACUAGCAACUUUAUUUCCUUUCAAAUAGCAACGCUGGAUGAUACCAUCAUAUGAUUGCAGUGCUCCUGAGAUAUGAUUGCCACAUGAGUCUGUGAACCCUACUGCACCUCCCAGUUUCUUCAUCUGCCAUCAAUACUAACCAGAUCUGAUAAGGGACUCCAGCUCAUUUUCCAUAGAGCAAUGCAGUACCAAGCUUGCACCUGUUUAUGAAGUUAGGCAUUUUUCUGUGUCCCUGUGGAUGUGUUCUUCAAUUCCCACUGGAGCUUUAUGACAUGGGGAACUACAGCAGCAGCAGAUUUUUUAUCACACAGCUGGACUUCGAGGUGUCCUACCUUUUGUGAGAAUAACAGCAGACCCCAUAAGAUCCGUGAGCACUCCUGGAGAAGGACCUUCCAGGCAGUGCAAGCUUCUCAAUAAGGUCCCAGUUGUACUUCAGCAGCUGAUCAGUGUUCACCAUAUGAUGUUGGAAACAGAUAAAUAGAGAACAAUUAUCCUGACCCUACUAUGGGAAACCAGUUAUGUAGGCUAUUACUGGAAAUGACCAAAAUAACCCAGAUAUGUGUCCCAUAUCUCAUUCCUGAGCCCAGCUCUGCAAAGUGACAAAGAUUUUGGUUCAGUCCAGCCCAGCAUGUUUGAAUGUGUUCAUUUUCAGGAAGGGACUGGUCAUUAAUUUAAGUGCUUUACUGUAGCAGUAGCAGGGUGUUUAGU
rnacentral:lncRNA from 1 species